rnacentral:rRNA from 1 species
GGUCUAACACUAGUGGUGGAGCAUGUGGUUUAAUGCGAUAAUCCGCGCAAAACCUUACCAAUUCUUGACAUAUUUAAAUCGCUGUUUUAAUUCAUUUUAGGAAUUAAAAACAGCAUUUCCUUACAGGUGUUGCACGACUGUCGUCAGCUCGUGUCGUGAGAUGUUUGGUUAAGUCCUGAAACGGGCGCAACUCUUACUUUUAAAUAAGUAUUACGUGCUAAAAAGUUUUUAUUUUAAAACUUUUAAAUGCUUUAAAAGUACCGUCAAUGAUAAAUUGAAGGAAGGUAAGAAUGAAGUCAAGUCAAUGUGACCCUAAUGAAUUGGGCUACACAUGUGCUACAAUGAAAAUUACAAAAAGUGACAAAAAGAAAUUUAAGUUAAUCAACAAAGAUUUUCCCAGUUCGAAUUGUAGACUGCAACUCGUCUACAUGAAGUUGGAAUCACUAGUAA